rnacentral:hammerhead_ribozyme from 1 species
ACACUGCUGAGGAGUCCCAAAAUAAGACGAAACGGCCGUCCAGUGC